GGACGAACGCUGGCGGCGUGCUUAACACAUGCAAGUCGAGCGGUAAGGCCCUUUCGGGGGUACACGAGCGGCGAACGGGUGAGUAACACGUGGGUGACCUGCCCUCAGCUCUGGGAUAAGCCUGGGAAACCGGGUCUAAUACCGGAUAUGACUCCAUGACGCAUGUUGUGGGGUGGAAAGCCUUGUGCGGCUGAGGAUGGGCCCGCGGCCUAUCAGCUUGUUGGUGGGGUGANGGCCUACCAAGGCGACGACGGGUAGCCGGCCUGAGAGGGCGACCGGCCACACUGGGACUGAGACACGGCCCAGACUCCUACGGGAGGCAGCAGUGGGGAAUCUUGCGCAAUGGGCGAAAGCCUGACGCAGCGACGCCGCGUGAGGGAUGACGCCU
rnacentral:rRNA from 1 species